rnacentral:rRNA from 1 species
UACAGGGGUCUCAAGCGUUGUUCGGAUUCAUUGGGCGUAAAGGGUGCGUAGGCGGCGCGGUAAGUCGGGUGUGAAAUCUCGGAGCUUAACUCCGAAACUGCAUGCGAUACUGCCGUGCUUGAGGACUGGAGAGGAGAGUGGAAUUUACGGUGUAGCGGUGAAAUGCGUAGAUAUCGUAAGGAAGACCAGUGGCGAAGGCGGGUCUCUGGACAGUACCUGACGCUGAGGCACGAAGGUCAGGGGAGCAAACGGG